rfam:Oryza meridionalis cultivar OR44 (W2112) chromosome 9, whole genome shotgun sequence.
AAUAAGUGCAGCCAUAAGUUUUCGCGUCUAACUUUAAUCGUCUGUUUUAUUUGAAAUUUUUUUAUAUUUAGCAUUUUUGUUGUUAUAGGAUGAUAAAAUAUGAAUAGUACUUCACUCGUGACUUAUAUUUUUAAUUUUUUUUAAAAAAAUUUUAAAUAAGAUGAAUGGUCAAAGUUGGAUGCGGAAAACCAUGACUGCACUUAAU